rnacentral:rRNA from 1 species
GGGCAGCGGGAUUGAAGCUUGCUUCAAUUGCCGGCGACCGGCGCACGGGUGAGUAACGCGUAUCCAACCUUCCGUACACUCAGGGAUAGCCUUUCGAAAGAAAGAUUAAUACCUGAUGGUAUGAUGAGAUUGCAUGAUAGCAUCAUUAAAGAUUUAUCGGUGUACGAUGGGGAUGCGUUCCAUUAGGUAGUAGGCGGGGUAACGGCCCACCUAGCCAACGAUGGAUAGGGGUUCUGAGAGGAAGGUCCCCCACAUUGGAACUGAGACACGGUCCAAACUCCUACGGGAGGCAGCAGUGAGGAAUAUUGGUCAAUGGACGAGAGUCUGAACCAGCCAAGUAGCGUGAAGGAUGAAGGUCCUACGGAUUGUAAACUUCUUUUAUAAGGGAAUAAACCCUCCCACGUGUGGGAGCUUGUAUGUACCUUAUGAAUAAGCAUCGGCUAACUCCGUGCCAGCAGCCGCGGUAAUACGGAGGAUGCGAGCGUUAUCCGGAUUUAUUGGGUUUAAAGGGAGCGCAGACGGGUCGUUAAGUCAGCUGUGAAAGUUUGGGGCUCAACCUUAAAAUUGCAGUUGAUACUGGCGUCCUUGAGUGCGGUUGAGGUGUGCGGAAUUCGUGGUGUAGCGGUGAAAUGCUUAGAUAUCACGAAGAACUCCGAUUGCGAAGGCAGCACACUAAUCCGUAACUGACGUUCAUGCUCGAAAGUGUGGGUAUCAAACAGGAUUAGAUACCCUGGUAGUCCACACGGUAAACGAUGGAUACUCGCUGUUGGCGAUAUACUGUCAGCGGCUUAGCGAAAGCGUUAAGUAUCCCACCUGGGGAGUACGCCGGCAACGGUGCAACUCAAAGGAAUUGACGG